UACGAAGGGGGCUAGCGUUGCUCGGAAUCACUGGGCGUAAAGCGCACGUAGGCGGCUUACUAAGUCAGGGGUGAAAUCCUGGAGCUCAACUCCAGAACUGCCUUUGAUACUGGUAAGCUCGAGUCCGGGAGAGGUGAGUGGAACUGCGAGUGUAGAGGUGAAAUUCGUAGAUAUUAGGAAGAACACCAGUGGCGAAGGCGGCUCACUGGCCCGGUACUGACGCUGAGGCGCGAAAGCGUGGGGAGCAAACAGG
rnacentral:rRNA from 1 species